ensembl:snoRNA
AAUCCAGCCAACUGAUGUGCUUAGCUGAAUGUGUGUUUACAGAGAUCUAAAAAGUGAUGGCAAUAAUAAGGCCAUGUUACAAGCCUUAAGAACAUGUAGUCAUUAAGGUCCCUGAGAAUCACUACAGUA